rnacentral:rRNA from 1 species
GACGAACGCUGGCGGCGUGCUUAACACAUGCAAGUCGAACGGAAAGGCCCUGCUUUUGUGGGGUGCUCGAGUGGCGAACGGGUGAGUAACACGUGAGUAACCUGCCCUUGACUUUGGGAUAACUUCAGGAAACUGGGGCUAAUACCGGAUAGGAGCCCCCGCUGCAUGGUGGGGGUUGGAACGUUUCGGCGGGUGGGGAUGGACUCGCGGCUUAUCAGCUUGUUGGUGGGGUAGUGGCUUACCAAGGCUUUGACGGGUAGCCGGCCUGAGAGGGUGACCGGCCACAUUGGGACUGCGAUACGGCCCAGACGCCUACGGGAGGCAGCAGUGGGGAAUAUUGCACAAUGGGCGGAAGCCUGAUGCAGCAACGCCGCGUGCGGGAUGACGGCCUUCGGGUUGUAAACCGCUUUCGCCUGUGACGAAGCGUGAGUGACGGUAAUGGGUAAAGAAGCACCGGCUAACUACGUG